UAGUGUUCUUUUGCAAAAAUAAC
rnacentral:siRNA from 1 species